AUUGAACGCUGGCGGCAUGCUUUACACAUGCAAGUCGAACGGGCUUGGGGGCUUGCUCCCAAGUUAGUGGCGAACGGGUGAGUAAUACAUCGGAACGUACCGUGUAGUGGGGGAUAACGUAGCGAAAGUUACGCUAAUACCGCAUACAAUCUACGGAUGAAAGCAGGGGGACCUUCGGGCCUUGUGCUAUACGAGCGGCCGAUGUCUGAUUAGCUAGUUGGUGAGGUAAAGGCUCACCAAGGCGACGAUCAGUAGCGGGUCUGAGAGGAUGAUCCGCCACACUGGGACUGAGACACGGCCCAGACUCCUACGGGAGGCAGCAGUGGGGAAUUUUGGACAAUGGGCGAAAGCCUGAUCCAGCCAUGCCGCGUGUCUGAAGAAGGCCUCGGUUGUAAGGAC
rnacentral:rRNA from 1 species